AUGGUCGACCUUCUUCCCUGGCACCGGCGGGAGCUGAAGCAUGUAGUAAGUCUGUCGCCGUUGCCAGCAGGUCUGUUGCGAUGCAUCCUUGUAUCGGUGAUAGUCUUGCGCCCCUGUACCGCAAAAUCGUUUUUCGAUUGUGGGCCCUCCUACAUCCCUUACUCCCGCGAGCAGGACCAUGGCGUUUGCAUCUUCCAGCUCCAGAACGAUGAGCUGGAGAGCUCCUGGGACGCAGGCAUCAUAGACGGAGCCCUCCACCUCACCACCGACGACGUCUACCAGCCGCCGGUAUAUUACCCUCCUGACCCCACGAGGCGGGCGGGAUGUGCCAUCCUCCGGGAGGAAGUCGAUCUAUGGCGGCCGGCCUGUGCAGCAUACCCAUACGGCGUUCACUCGCAGUGGGCUUGGCGGUGA
rnacentral:rRNA from 1 species